GGGCCGGUAGUCUAGUCUGGUAGGAUACAGCAUGGCGUCCAACCCCUUGGCAAGACAGACUCCCAUAAUGGGGGAGGUCGGGGGUUCGAGUCUCGUCGCAACAAAGGGCGACGGGCGAAUAUCCCCCCCGGUCCACCA
rnacentral:tRNA from 1 species